rnacentral:lncRNA from 13 species
AGAAUAGAGCCUGCUGAAGUCAGACACGAAUUAGCAUGUAUGCUGAACAACAUGAUUAAAGUCAAACCUUCUACCAACUGCUGGGGGCUGUAGAGGAAAAAUGUGAGUGUUCAGAGCAGGGUACAUCAGUGCCAGGCUCCUGACAAAACCUGGUCCUGCCGUGUGCUCCCUGACAGCGGUGACAUCAGGAAGGGGUGAGAGCCCUGAAGGACAACCAGCAGAGCAAGUCAGCAGCCCAGCAUCAGCUCAAGCUGUGAUGCUACGAGACAGCUGUGGGCUCAGCUUGGAUAUCUCUGAAGCACUGCUGCCUUUUGGAAACCAAGAGAGUCACUUCACACGAUGAAGCAGAUUCAGGACUAGAGAACUGAAGCUAUCAGACUGACAACACUGUUCCUCCCAACCAGUGGGAUAGUAAAGACUAUCUUACUCUCUUGCCAGUGGGUUGUAGAGAGAGGAAUCCCAGG